UAUGAGGAUCGGCAUCCGUCUCGCUGUACUUGUGAUGAACUCUGUGGUCGAGUGCCCAAGCGUAUACGUGUCUCUGUCGAUAAAAAAGAUUCGACACAAGUUUGCUUAGCGUUGUAAAAAAUCGGGAUGAGUGGGUCAUUCGACACGACGGUUUUUUUAUCGUCGCUCGAAAAUCGAUUCCAGUCUUUUGGUAAAUCGAACGUUUUUACCUACACUUUUUCGUCUUACCGACGAGAGUUCAGGAAGAUUUUCUCUCCUCGGCCACGAGGAGACCAUCACGUGUACGAAGUGAAACUGACCUGAGGAAGGACUGGAAAGUGGAAAAUCAAUUUUUUCGAAAGCCGACCCCAAGGAGGCUUGAUCGAUCGAAAAAAAAUGGAGUUCGAUGCCAAACAAACCGAAAAUGUUAAAGUCUGAGCCCUUUGACGUGGACGGAUAGCGAUGGGCGCGUGGCUUCGGUGAUCUACGAAGUUAAUUAAGCAGAUUUGGGCGAGGCCAACACUCGACUAGGCGACGCUUCACCCGCGUAUCCAGUGACGUUACUAUCGCUCAUUCCGAAUUCCGAUUUCUCGAGUUUCUGUGAAUCGCUUAUUACCAUAUGAGAAAAAGUGCGACUAGCAAAUAUUUCGAAUACAGUCGCCUGGUUUUUAUAGAAGUAGUCCUACGUCAUUCCUUACGCGUACAUCCGCUUAUUGGGGGAAAAAAUAUAAACGGGAAAGAAGAAAACAAGCGGAUGCGAAUAAGGCGACGAGUCCAUUAAAUUGCAUGAUUGAUGUUGUUCCAUAUUUUGAAUUGACUAAUCCUCGCCCCACUGUCGUACUAUUGAAUGUUCAAAUAUUUAUUUAAUCAAGGCCUUUUGUAUUGCGGAUAAUAGAAGAAUUGGGAGAAAAUCGAUUUAGCUAUGACCAAGUCACGGUAAGGUCUUCGGGACCGAAUGGGCUUUGAAUGAAACACGCUACGAUUAAUCGAUGCCGUUGUUGUACGGGCGGAUUGGACUUUACGUAUCACUCGUAUUUUCCUUCUUUCACCAUCCUUUUAUAAAAUGCUCUCAUCGUUUCGUUCCCGGCGCACGAAACGUAAGAACUUUUGAUUUUACGUAUAGAUUUUCUGCGAGCUUUUCUUCUACUAAUUUUCUUUUUUUUAUCCACAAGUGAAGCGGGCCACAAAUCUGUUCAGUGUUGUUACGCUUGGAGCGAUUUUUUCUAUUUCCGUAUUGUUGUCUUUUCACCCAAUUAUUCGGUAUCGUUUGCAAUUGCUGUUCUCACUUUUUCUGAGUCCAGCAUCAUUCGAUUUUUUACGGUUCAACGAGUAAAUACGACAUUCAGCUUAUAAUUGUGCCUUUCGAAUUGUGGGUUUUGAUCGAAUUUGGGUAGUUUUUCAGUAUUUAUUAUGAAUUUUUAUUCCCUAAUUCCCUAAUGUAAUCACUUUAAGUUCAUGUCAGAAUUAUUAAUUCGAAAUUGUAAAUAAAUUUU